CCAGACUCCUACGGGAGGCAGCAGUGGGGAAUAUUGGGCAAUGGGCGCAAGCCUGACCCAGCAACGCCGCGUGAAGGAUGAAGGUUUUCGGAUUGUAAACUUCUGUCGCGAGGGACGAAGAAUGACGGUACCUCGUAAGAAAGCCCCGGCUAACUACGUGCCAGCAGCCGCGGUAAUACGUAGGGGGCAAGCGUUGUCCGGAAUGACUGGGCGUAAAGGGAGUGUAGGCGGCUUAUCAAGUUAGAUGUGAAAUCCCGCGGCUUAACCGCGGAACUGCAUCUAAAACUGGUGAGCUGGAGUGCAGGAGAGGUGAGUGGAAUUCCUAGUGUAGCGGUGGAAUGCGUAGAUAUUAGGAGGAACACCAGAGGCGAAGGCGACUCACUGGACUGUAACUGACGCUGAGGCUCGAAAGCGUGGGGAGCAAACAGGAUUAGAUACCCGUGUA
rnacentral:rRNA from 1 species